CAUCCCAAACACACAUUUCCCUGUACUUGGAAAGUCACCCAAAGCAGCCCCAAGUGCAGGGCAAAGAGACAUCACCAAUUACAGGGAACCUAUUGACUCUGGCUGUGUCCUGGGAGGAGUAAUAAGUCCUGACGCUUCUCCUGAAAGUGUGGUUUGGAAUGGACUUCAGAUCCAGCAAUUUCUGGAUACAAGGAUGAAGUGACUUCACAGCUUAAAAAAACCCCCAAAAC